GACGAACGCUGGCGGCGUGCCUAACACAUGCAAGUCGAACGGAGAUAUGAUUUCGGUUGUAUCUUAGUGGCGAACGGGUGAGUAACGCGUGAGCAACCUGACUCUUAGAGGGGGAUAACACUCGGAAACGGGUGCUAAUACCGCAUAAGACCACGACAUGGCAUCAUGACGAGGUCAAAGGAGCAAUCCGCUGAGAGAGGGGCUCGCGUCCCAUUAGAUAGAUGGCGGGGUAACGGCCCACCAUGUCAACGAUGGGUAGCCGAGCUGAGAGGCUGAUCGGCCACACUGGAACUGAGACACGGUCCAGACUCCUACGGGAGGCAGCAGUGGGGAAUAUUGGGCAAUGGGCGCAAGCCUGACCCAGCAACGCCGCGUGAGGGAAGAAGGCUUUCGGGUUGUAAACCUCUGUCCUUGGUGACGAAAAAAAUGACGGUAGCCAAGGAGGAAGCCCCGGCUAACUACGUG
rnacentral:rRNA from 1 species